UACGCUGGGGUGGCUUUCUGACAGAC
rnacentral:piRNA from 1 species